rnacentral:rRNA from 1 species
AGAGUUUGAUCCUGGCUCAGGACGAACGCUGGCGGCGCGCCUAAUGCAUGCAAGUUGAACGGUUCCCACGGUCUUCGGGCUGUGGGGAUAGUGGCGAACGGCUGAGUAACGCGUAAGGGACCUGACCCUGGGAGGGGGAUAACCCAUCGAAAGGUGGGCUAAUACCCCGUACGCUGGCUUGCUGACAUGGUGAGUCAGGAAAGCCCCGGUGCAAACCGGGGUGCCCGGGGAGGGUCUUGCGUCCUAUCAGGUAGUUGGCGGGGUAACGGCCCACCAAGCCUAAGACGGGUAACCGGUGUGAGAGCAUGGACGGUCAGAGGGGGACUGAGACACGGCCCCCACUCCUACGGGAGGCAGCAGCAGGGAAUUUUGCGCAAUGGGCGAAAGCCUGACGCAGCGACGCCGCGUGGGGGAAGAAGGCCUUAGGGUUGUAAACCCCUUUUCUGGGGGAAGAGAGAGGACGGUACCCCAGGAAUAAGCCCCGGCUAACUACCUUGCCAGCAGCCGCGGUAAUACGUAGG